CAAGGAUGCUCUUUUCAUAGCUUUCGAACAAUCACAUAAAAACUGAGCUUUAUGGAGAGUCCCUUUAGGAUUAAGGUGCAGUUUCUUUCUAUUAUAUGCAUUCUUCAUUUUUUAUUUGCAUUAACAUGGUUGCAUUUUGUUGAGUGAAAUUCAUCUCUUUCUCCUCUUCGUUUUCUCUCUAUUACGAUAUAAACUUCCUCAAAAAAAGAAAAAAGAUAAAGAGUUGAAUGUAUCUAGGCAAUUUCUAUUUACACUAGGCAAUAUCAAAACAAUUCUUAGACAUGGUUAGCUGAAGUGUACCUAGGUAAAUUCCAUUUACACUAGGCAAUAUCUAAACAAUUCUUAGACAUGCUUAGCUGAAGUGCCCUCAGUCAACUAUGGAGUAGCCAUGUUAAUGCUUUUUUAAAUCAAAUUUGAAUUCUAACAUCCUUCUCAUUUAAGCAUGGAUUGGCUAUGCAUGGAAAACUGUUUGUGGCCAAAUUUGCCAUAUUUAUUUCCUCUUAUUCCAAUAUGGCUUCUUUUUUUUAGCUGUUAUGUGUAUUGGUUUUAACGCCAAAUGUUGCAACUGUUUGGGGGCAUACCUUUUUAUUUAUUUCUCAAUUAUAGUAGAUAAUGUGUGUCUCUUGCAAUUUUUUAUCAUUAUUGAUUGUUAUUUAUAUUUGUAAGAUAGAUUUUGAGAAUUGGGCUUUGACAAUCUCUGUCUUCUUACUUCUUGCAGUGCUGAAUGAGGAAAUCUUGGGUUCCCCCCAUUACCAAGUCAAGGAUGCUCUUUUCAUAGCUUUCAAACAAACACAUACAAACUGAGCUUUAUGGAGAGUCCCUCGAGGAUUAAGGUAGAGUUUCUUUCUAUUAUAUGCAUUCUUCAGUUUUUAUUUGCAUUAACAUGCUUGAAUUUUGUUGAGUGAAAUUCAUUCCCUUUCUCCCCUUUGUUUUCUCUCUCUCUUCCAAUAUAAACUUCCUCUAAAAAUGAAAAAAGAUGAAGAGCUGAAAUGUACCUUGGCAAUUUCCAUUUACACCAGGCAAUAUCUAAACAUUUCUUAAACAUGCUUAGCUGAAGAGCUCUCAAUCAACUAUGGAGUAGCCAUGUGAAUGCUUUUCUAAAUCAAAUUUGAAUUCUAAUAUCCUUCUCAGUUAAGCAUGGAUUGACUAUGCAUGGAAAAUGGUUUGUGGCCCAAUCUGCCAUAUUUAUUUCCCCUUAUUCCAAUAUGGCUUCUUUUUUUUAGCUGUUUUGUGUAUUGGUUGUAACGCCAAUUGUUGUGACUGUUUGGGGGCAUAGCUUUUUAUUUAUUUCUCAAUUAUAGUAGAUAGUGUGUGUCUCUUGCAAUUUUUUAUCAUUAUUGAUUUAUAUUUAUAUUUGUAAGAUAGCUUUUGAGAAUUGGGGUUUGAUAAUCUCUGUCUUCUUCUUUCUUACAGUGCUGAUGGAGGAAAUCUUGGGCUCUUUCAUAGCUUUUGAAGAAACACAUACAAACUGAGCUUUAUGGAGAGUCCCUUUGGGAUUAAUGUGGAGUUUCUUUCUAUUAUAUGCAUUCUUCAGUUUUUAUUUGCAUUAACAUGGUUACAUUUUGUUGAGUGAAAUUCAUUCUCUUUUUCCUCUUUGUGUUAUCUUUCUCUUCCGAUAUAAACUUCUUCAAAAAAAGAAAAAAGAUAAAGAGCUGAAUGUACCUAGGCAAUUUCCAUUUACAGGAGGCAAUAUCUAAACAAUUCUUAGACAUGCUUAGCUGAAGUGCCCUCAGUCAACUAUUUAGUAGCCAUGUUAAUGCUUUUCUAAAUCAAAUUUGAAUUCUAACAUCCUUCUCAUUUAAGCAUGAAUUGGCUAUGCAUGGAAAACUGUUUGUGGCCCAAUUUGCCAUAUUUAUUUCCUCUUAUUCCAAUAUGGCUUCUUUUUUUUAGUUGUUAUAUGUAUUGGUUUUAACGCCAAAUGUUGUGACUGUUUGGGGGCAUAACUUUUAUUUAUUUCUUAAUUAUAGUAGAUAGUGUGUGUCUCUUUUAAUUUUUUAUCAUUAUUGAUUUUUAUUUAUAUUUGUAAGAUAGCUUUACAGAAUUGGGGUUUUACAAUCUCUGUCUUCUUCUUUCUUGCAGUGCUAAUGAAUGAAAUCUUGGGUUCCCCAUUUUACCACCAGGUCAAGAAUGCUCUUUCCAUAGCUUUUGAACAAACACAUACAAACUGAGCUUUUUGGAGGGUCCCUCUGGGAUUAAGGUGGAGUUUCUUUCUAUUAUAUGCAUUCUUCAUUUUUUAUUUGCAUUAACAUGGUUG
rnacentral:lncRNA from 1 species